UACGUAGGGUGCAAGCGUUGUCCGGAAUUACUGGGCGUAAAGAGCGCGCAGGCGGUCGUUCAAGUCGAGUGUGAAAGCCCCCGGCUCAACUGGGGAGGGUCAUUCGAUACUGAUCGACUCGAAGGCAGGAGAGGGAAGUGGAAUUCCCGGUGUAGUGGUGAAAUGCGUAGAUAUCGGGAGGAACACCAGUGGCGAAGGCGACUUCCUGGCCUGUUCUUGACGCUGAGGCGCGAAAGCUAGGGGAGCAAACGGG
rnacentral:rRNA from 1 species